rnacentral:rRNA from 1 species
AUUGAACGCUGGCGGCAGGCCUAACACAUGCAAGUCGAACGAGUGGCGGACGGGUGAGUAAUGUCUGGGAAACUGCCUGAUGGAGGGGGAUAACUACUGGAAACGGUAGCUAAUACCGCAUACCCUCGGAGGUGCCCAGAUGGGAUUAGCGAGUAGGUGGGGUAAAGGCUCACCUGGGCGGCGAUCCCUAGCUGGUCUGAGAGGAUGACCGGCCCAACUGGAACUGAGACACGGCCCAGCUUCCUACGGGAGGCGGCAGUGGGGAAUAUGGGACAAUGGGCGAAGGCCUGAUGCGGCCAUGCCGCGUGUAUGAAGAAGGCCUUCGGGUUGUAAAGUACUUUCAGCGGGGAGGCGUUACCCGCAGAAGAAGCACCGGCUAACUCCGUGCCAGCAGCCGCGGUAAUAC